rnacentral:tRNA from 2 species
GCGCCCAUUGUCUAAUGGAAAGGGCAGAGGUCUUCUAAACCUUAGGUAUAGGUUCAAAUCCUAUUGGGCGCA